rnacentral:rRNA from 1 species
GAUGAACGCUGGCGGCGUGCCUAAUACAUGCAAGUCGAGCGAACAGAUGAGGAGCUUGCUCCUCUGACGUUAGCGGCGGACGGGUGAGUAACACGUGGAUAACCUACCUAUAAGACUGGGAUAACUUCGGGAAACCGGAGCUAAUACCGGAUAAUAUAUUGAACCGCAUGGUUCAAUAGUGAAAGACGGUUUUGCUGUCACUUAUAGAUGGAUCCGCGCCGCAUUAGCUAGUUGGUAAGGUAACGGCUUACCAAGGCAACGAUGCGUAGCCGACCUGAGAGGGUGAUCGGCCACACUGGAACUGAGACACGGUCCAGACUCCUACGGGAGGCAGCAGUAGGGAAUCUUCCGCAAUGGGCGAAAGCCUGACGGAGCAACGCCGCGAGAGUGAUGAAGGUCUUCGGAUCGUAAAACUCUGUUAUUAGGGAAGAACAAAUGUGUAAGUAACUAUGCACGUCUUGACGGUACCUAAUCAGAAAGCCACGGCUAACUACGUG